AUGGCAGUUUCUCUUGCAGCCGGAGAUUUUAUCCAAGUUUGCAAAUAGCAAAUAUCCCUUAUUGUUAGUGUAUGUCAUACGAAAUCAACAAUUGAAUAUUUGUUUUAUUGAAGACAAUGUCCUCACAGUUUUAUAGGCUAAACAAUUAAUCGAUUUAUUUUUUUUUAAAGUAUUGACUGAGACCGAGGUCCUUUAUUUCUGAAGUUAGUGUUUUAGUUUGAGCUUUAUUGACACCAUCUGUUUACCACUGCCCGGCUGGAGGAGAGCUCUCAGACACAUCAGCUACGAGCUCAAGGAUCACGUUGCUGUUAUACGACUCAGUGAUUCAACAGACAAAGUGUGUGCGUGUAGCCGUGUGGGUGUGUGUUUAUGGAAGAAAGAAUGAGAAGGUGAACACACUGUCGUUGCAGAUGCAGUCUGAGCUGAUGGAGGUGAUGGGGGAGAGAUCUGGUCGAACGGAGCAGUGAACAGUGCCAUCUUCAUCUCCAGCAAGUCUGGCUGCUUCAUUGCUGGGGCAGAUAUCAACAAACUGGGGCUUGUAAAUUGGGAUCUAAUCCUGUGAGAGCAGUGAGGAGGCCACCCAUCUCUAUCAGGAACGUCAGAAGAUUGAGAAAGCUUCCAUCUCUAUUGUCGCUGCCAUCUAUGGCUCUCAAGGUGGGUCUCCCCGGAGCGUCUGACAUGAUGCUGACAGGCAGGAACAUCAGGGCGGAUAAAGCCACGAAGAUAGGUCUAGUGCACCAGCUUGUGGACCCUCUGGGUCCUGGUGUGAAGCCUGCAGAGGCAAGCACUAUUGAAUACCUUGAGGAGGUUGCUGUGCGCGCGUGGCCAAGGGAUCCAAUAAGAAGGUUCCCUUUACAAAGGAGCAACAGCCUCAAGCAGAAUAUCCGUGCAGAUAUAGAGGUCAGGCUCUAAAUACACCACAUGGUCCACAUCUGUAAACUGUCAACAGACUAAAGACCUCUACCCUGCUCCUGGCAAAAUCAUUGGGACUGGAAGGGAGCAGGUCAGAGAGGCACGUUAUCUGGCUGAAGCUGUGGUGAGUUUGUUUUGUGUGUCAGGAGGCUGGCGGUCCUGGGUGCAGGGCUGAUGGGUACUGGUGUUGCCGAGGUGGCCUGACCACCAUUCUAAAGGGCACCAGAGUGGAGAACAUCAGCAGGGGACAUAAACAGGUCCAAAAAAGGAAUACAGGAGGGUGAAUCCUGAAGAUGUAUAAAUCUUCAAGAAAUACAAUGUGCCAGCUCCCCUGCGGUGUAAGACAUUGCACUCUGAUAUCUCUAUAAAAUAAUGAUCAUGUGUGUUUCUAGCAGUUCUUCAGACUCUGACAUGCAGUACCGGAUUGUAUCACGCUUUUUAAAUGAGGCAGUUCUGCGUCUCCAGGAGGGGAUACUGAGAGACCCAGUAGAGGGAGACAUUGGAGCUGUGUUUGUAGUUGGCUUCCAUCCCUGCCAUGGUGGCAGAUGUAAUCAAAAUGGAAUCCAUAAAUCUUAAAUUGCAGCCCUGAAGUACACAACUCUCUCUGUAGUGAAUGUGCUGAUCCCACAUUUUUAAUGUCAUGUUUCUUCAGGUCCGUUCAGGUUUGUAGACACAUUCGGUGCAGAGCGUCUUGUGAGCAUCAUGAGGCGUUUGGAGGAUGUUAAUAGGAACAAAUCUGCAUUUACCAAGUUUUACAAAUGAGCCAAUAUGGGGAUUUUCAAAGUUUUUUUUUUUUUUUUUUAAUAUAAAGCAUGACAUUAAUUUGGUGAAAAUGUGUUCCACUUCUGCUGGAUGUGACUUUUACUUUUUACACCAAUGCACUUAUUUGACAGCUAAAGUUACUGGCUACUUUUCAGAUUAGGAUUUUUUACAUUAAAUAAAACAUAGAAAAUGCUUAAAAAAUACAGUUCAUUGUAUGAAAAAAUUAAUCCAGUGGUUCCUAACCUUUUUGUCUUCAGUUUCAGAUGUUCAUUUGGUUACAUUAAAAUAACUGCUCAAGGCCCAAAGAGGUAAAAAUCAUCCAGUGUUUUACAAAUAACAGCAAACAUUAGAGAAAAGUCUAAAAUAUUAAUACACAUUUCCACUCCAAUUUAUCAUCUCAUGACCCCUCAGAUUUAUCUUGUGACCCUUUGGAGGGGCCUAGGUUGGAAACCAAUGGACUAAACUACCCACAUGAAGUGUUUAUAUACAGUCUAUAUUGUAGUUAAAAUUAUCUCUACCUCGACCAUGGUGCUUACACAUCAUGAUGAUGCAUCAGUAUUAACGAUCUAAUUAUAUAAUUUCUAAUAACAUUUAGAACAAUCUUGUUUCUUUUGAGCUCUCUUGAGCUUUUACUUUUGAAACUUAAUUAGUUUUACUGAUUGUACUUUUACUUAAGAUUUUGAAUGCAGGAAUGCAAGUAUUGUAACAUUGUUGUACAGUAUUGGUACAUAUACGUGAGUAAAGGUUGCAAGUACUUCUUCCACCACUGCUUACCACUGAAGCAUCAUCACCUUUUUCGUGAUUUGUAUGAUUACUAGCUAAACGAAGGCGAAGUAAUCAGAUUGAUCACUGCUACUGUAAAAAGAAAAAAGAGGAAAUGGAUCAAUUAAUUUUUUUUUCAAUUAAUUUCUACUUCUGAUCUUGUCUUUCUUACCUGGUUAUGACUCUGCCAUAAGCUUCUGAUUCAUCUUGUAACCACUGGGCUCAGUUGAAAGUGUGAAACUCUUCAUAUCUUGUUUAUGUUUUGUUUUUUAUAUGAAGGCCAAUUUACUUCUGAAACCACAACCAUUGCAGUUGCAGUGACAUGUGAGAGUUGUGCUUGUUGUAUUUGUACCUGGAAUAAUAUGUUUAUUUAUACUUGAAUUGAAAGACCAUUAACUGUUGGCAUGGCUGUCUUUUGUAAUUUGUCCUGGACACUGACAUGGCUAAAUAGCCUGUCGCACCGCCCAUGUCUCUGAUAACUGAUUGAUCUGAGAUGCUGUUUUAUUUUAUCAUUUUCUUUCAAUGCAAUAAAUUUGAUACUGCA